UCAGGUACAACGAGACCAUUCUGCCUUUGUAAGGCAUCAGCUAGAACGACGGCAUCAUGUGCCGAACCCUCCCAACCAGCUAGCACAUAUGUGAAGCGAAGGUCAAAGUCUACCGCGGCCAUCACAUUUUGGGUUGUGAAACUCUUUCUACCUCGAAAAGCUGCCUCACGAGACUUGGGGACACUAGCUCGUCAAAAAUAAUUUUAGUGUGCCUAGACCAUACCUCAAAGUAAGGAUACCAUCGAGGAUUUCCAAGGAUUUUGACUGAAGUUUCAAGAGAUGGAGGCCUAAUAAGCAUUCCUCUCGUUGUGACCAAUUGUGUGAAGGAACAUUGCUACUUGUUCCUCAACACAACAAUGGAUACUAUCAGAAAGAAGGCUUCUUUGUUUCAGUGUAUCACACAAUAAAAAGAAUGGUGCUCUCCUCAAUCUUAGCAUGCGCAAACAACUCGUAUCAUCUUUAUGGUAAAUACUAGAAAGGUAGUCAUUUCGUUUCAUUUCCAUAUCAAUCAU